GAGAGCUGAGGUCUGGGCAGAAGGUUUUCCCAAGUUUAUCCUAUGCACACUUCCUGCCUCCUACUGGAGUGUUCUUGCUGGGGAACUUACCUGGUCACUGAACAUCUUAAGAGUCUCGAAGGUCCCAGGCCUGAAGUGAUGAGACCAAGCAACCACGAACUGAAAUCUCCAAAACUGUGACCUGAAGGAACCUUCCUCCCCAGUUGAUUAUCCUCAGGUAUUUUAUGGUAGUGACAUCAAGCUAGCAAUCAAGCCUCGCCUCAUCCACACAUGCGAAUGGACUACAAUAUGGGUAGACCACCCAGACCACAAGAAUGCUGCGCUCAAGGGAAUUUCCUCUGUCCAGAAAUCCAAAGUGAUCUCCCCGUGAUGGGGUUACAGUUUGGCCCCCGAUCUUGGAUAAGUGGAAUGAGAUGUGCGUCUGUGUGCCAGAGGACAGCCUAGCCCUCAUCCCAGGGCUGGAUCUGCUUACGAAACAGGAUUGAGUUCUGUGAAAUUCCUGGGAUACAUGCUUGUCUGUUUUCUUAAACGACAUUAAGAUAAAAGGUUGGCUUGGCUAUGAUUAGCUACCAGGGAAUCUGUGCCAAGGACCGGAGGAUGAUUGCUACUUCAUCAAGUUUCACCACAACUCUCAAAGAAUACAUAUUUUUAGAUGUGAAUUUCAGAUUCCAAGUGUUCU